rnacentral:lncRNA from 1 species
AUAUCACAUAUAUAAUUUCAGAUCUAACUAUACAUGCUUUGCAUACAUCUCAUGUAUUAAAAUCUGAUCUAAUUAGCAUGCUUUUAGAUCUAAUACAUCACAUGUAACAUCUAAAAAAUAAGAUUUAAAUUGAACUAUUCAAUAUAAAAUCUAUUCUAGACAGUUACUAGAAUAAUUCUACAACUAGUCUAGGCAUGCAGCA